CUGUUUCAACUUGUUGGGGGCAAAUCCAGUGAAUAUGAGUAUCAAUACCACCUGCUGUAAGUAUUUGCCCUUCACCUGCAAUCACCUCAGUUGCAGCACCCAGUGGAAUGGUAAUAUCGGGUUGAAUAUCUGGAUUGCCGGCUUUACCUAUUUUCCAAAUUCGCCCAUUUUUUAAUCCCACAUCGGCUUUAAUAAUUCCCCACCAAUCGACAAUCAAUGCGUUGGUAAUCACCGUAUCGGCAACAUCUGCUGCAAGUAAUUGAGAUUGUCCCAUCCCAUCGCGA
rfam:Acinetobacter guillouiae CIP 63.46 genomic scaffold acLsj-supercont1.12, whole genome shotgun sequence.